CUCCUCUGAGUUUGUUACUGUAGAAGUUACAGAAUUGUCACAGCUUAUUGGAGAGGAAUUUAAGCUGGAAAUUGAAACCAAGUAGAGAAAGUAAGUUCUCACUAUAGCUGCAAUGCAAAAAUAAGUAGUACCUUUUUUUUCCCAAUGUUCAUGAAGUGUCAUGUUUUGUAUAAGAACUAAGUACCACAGAAUAAUGUCAAAAACUCAGCAUGGCUAUGAAGCUCAAUUAUGAAAAUAUCUGUAUGUCAAUAUGAAUGGCAAGUACUACCUAUUACUGGAGGUAGCUUAUAUUUGAUGCACUAAAUGUAGCAGUUACUCUUAUAAUUUUUUACACUCUACCUAACAACUUUACACGUUUAAAACAAUAAUUUGGAUGUUUAUUAUUAACCAUGCAUAACUAAGAAAUAUUCUUUAUCUCCUCAGUGACAUCAAUUCUUGUAGUUUUUUUUAACUUGACAGACUAAUAUGCAUGAUACAGCACCCUAAAUGACUUCAAUCAAUAUAGAAAUCCCAACUUACAUGCAGGUUUGACAUUAUUUUAUUAUUUGUUACUUGAAAUGCUAGAAUUAAUUAUUUACUCAUAAACCAGCUAAAAUACUGGAAACAUUUUUUUUAACAUUUAUAUUCAAGCACGAAACCUUAGGAGAAAUUGAACUCCUUAAUCCUUAUCACUCAUCAAAAACAGACUUGAUUACCACUCCUUUAAAUUAAAUACUUUCUCUUGCAAACCACAAGUUAAUAAAACAUUUUGCAUAAAGAUGCAAACCAUGAUUCAUGAAUAGCAACAUCAGAUUAUAUUUACAACUCAAAUAAUCCUGAUUGAUAAAAAAAUUAAACCUUAAAGAAGUUAACACAACAAUAUAAUUGAUAUUGAUAUAUUCAUAAUGUUGGGUAAUAGAAGAGUGUAAUAUCUAUGUAAUAUAAGUGUAAAAAUUUAUAUACAGUUACUAUAUUAUUUAACAUUUAUUUCUAUUAAAUAUAAAUGAUAGACGUGCAUGCCCAAUUUUGUCCGGCCAGAAUAAUUUUUCAAAAAUAAAAAUAAACAUGUGUCAAAAAUGCUUAAUGAGUAAUUGUUGGCUCAAUAAUCAUGAGAUAUUAUCUUAUUUUCCUUUUUAAUUUGUAAACAAUUUUUUAAAUGGGUAUUCAAUGACUAAAUGAGCACUUACUAUCAUAAUUCAUAAUUAUAGACAGAUUCCAUUUCUGGAAAAAUAAAAUACAUGUUAAAUGUCACAUAAUUUUCGUUUUCUUAAUUAAAUAAAAAUAAAAAGUGUAUUAAAAGUAUCUUCAAAUGGUUGUUUUUUGCUGUAUUGGUAGCUAAUGCAAUAAUUUGGAAUUUUGUAAUGACACUAUGAACUUUACACCACCUUCACCCUUUCCACUUUACCAUAAAAUAUUUGCACUAAGGCAAUAAAAGUGGAUUCACCACUGUGACUUGCAUCCAAAGAAGACUAGAACAGCACACAUUAGCAAGUUAUUCAUUCAUCAUAUAUACUGAAACAAUCUUAAGCAAAAAUGAUUUUUCAUUCACUGUUUAUACAUGUUAUAAUGCUACCUACAUAAACACCUUUCGCUGAUAAAUCAAAAUCAGUAUAUUAAAAACAUUCAAUUAACUUGAAAAUCAAAAGACAUUACUUCACUUUGGCGUUAUACACCAAUAUCACCGCAUUUAGGGGUAACUGUUCGCCAACGCUGCAACGGUGGUUGCUGCCGUAACCACACACCCAUCCUGGUGGCUGGACUCCUAUCGUCCUUGCGUCGACACCAUGGAAGCCACACACCACUCGGCGGCUGCCUCCGCCAGUUCUGGCUAUGGUUGCCGCCGCAUGAAAUUUGUGGUCUAGGGAUUUCAAUUUUCAAUCCCUUUGGUUCUUUCUUUUGUUGCUGGAGAGGGGUAACGUGCUGUUGUCCUUUUCUUUUUCUUCACAAGUAUCCUUUCGAGGCAAAAUCCUAUUCGAGGAGGGAAUUCACACACAGGUAAGGCUAACUCUCCCGACAAAGAUUUUUCAUUUAUA
rnacentral:lncRNA from 1 species